rnacentral:rRNA from 1 species
CGCGCAGGCGGUCGAGUAAGUCGAAUGUGAAAGCCCCCGGCUUAACUGGGGAGGGUCAUUCGAUACUGUUCGACUUGAAGGCAGGAGAGGGCAGCAGAAUUCCCGGUGUAGUGGUGAAAUGCGUAGAUAUCGGGAGGAAUACCAGUGGCGAAGGCGGCUGCCUGGCCUGUUCUUGACGCUGAGGCGCGAAAGCUGGGGAGCAAACG